rnacentral:tRNA from 1 species
GCACGCCUUGAGUUUGGUGGGUAAGCUUCCAUCGAAUUCGUAAUGAGGGGGUCAGGUGUUCGAGUCACCUAAGCGGCACCA